GAACAGAUGAGGAGCUUGCUCCUCUGACGUUAGCGGCGGACGGGUGAGUAACACGUGGAUAACCUACCUAUAAGACUGGGAUAACUUCGGGAAACCGGGAGCUAAUACCGGAUAAUAUAUUGAACCGCAUGGUUCAAUAGUGAAAGACGGUUUUGCUGUCACUUAUAGAUGGAUCCGCGCCGCAUUAGCUAGUUGGUAAGGUAACGGCUUACCAAGGCAACGAUGCGUAGCCGACCUGAGAGGGUGAUCGGCCACACUGGAACUGAGACACGGUCCAGACUCCUACGGGAGGCAGCAGUAGGGAAUCUUCCGCAAUGGGCGAAAGCCUGACGGAGCAACGCCGCGUGAGUGAUGAAGGUCUUCGGAUCGUAAAACUCUGUUAUUAGGGAAGAACAAAUGUGUAAGUAACUAUGCACGUCUUGACGGUACCUAAUCAGAAAGCCACGGCUAACUACGUGCCAGCAGCCGCGGUAAUACGUAGGUGGCAAGCGUUAUCCGGAAUUAUUGGGCGUAAAGCGCGCGUAGGCGGUUUUUUAAGUCUGAUGUGAAAGCCCACGGCUCAACCGCGGAGGGUCAUUGGAAACUGGAAAACUUGAGUGCAGAAGAGGAAAGUGGAAUUCCAUGUGUAGCGGUGAAAUGCGCAGAGAUAUGGAGGAACACCAGUGGCGAAGGCGACUUUCUGGUCUGUAACUGACGCUGAUGUGCGAAAGCGUGGGGGAUCAAACAGGAUUAGAUACCCUGGGUAGUCCACGCCGUAAACGAUGAGUGCUAAGUGUUAGGGGGUUUCCGCCCCUUAGUGCUGCAGCUAACGCAUUAAGCACUCCGCCUGGGGAGUACGACCGCAAGGUUG
rnacentral:rRNA from 1 species